rnacentral:rRNA from 1 species
AAUAAACGCUGGCGGCGUGCCUAACACAUGCAAGUCGAGCGAGAAAGCUUCUUCGGAAGUUAGUACAGCGGCGAACGGGUGAGUAUCGCGUGGGAAUCUACCUUUUAGUGAAGAAUACCCUCGAGAAAUCGGGGUUAAUACUGCAUAAGUCCCUUCGGGGAGAAAGAUGGCCUCUUUGCUGUCGCUAGAAGAUGAGCCUGCGUACUAUUAGCUAGUUGGUAGGGUAAAGGCCUACCAAGGCGAUGAUGGUUAGCCGGCCUGAGAGGGUGUACGGCCACACUUGAACUUAGACACGGUCCAGACUCCUACGGGAGGCAGCAGUGGGGAAUUUUGGACAAUGGGCGCAAGCCUGAUCCAGCAAUGCCGCGUGCAGGAUGAAGGCCUUCGGGUUGUAAACUGCUUUUGUACGGAGCGAAAAGGCUCUCUCUAAUACAGGGGGCUCAUGACGGUACCGUAAGAAUAAGCACCGGCUAACUACGUGCCAGCCGCCGCGGUAAAAC